CCCAAAGCACUGUUCUGUUGCUUGGGGACAAAAGUGGCAGCCAUGUGUACUCUCAUUUUUGGAAAAAGACUGGUUAUGACCACAGCUAUAUUUGUUGCUGUAGGCUAGCAUAUAAAAACUUGGUCCUGCUGGAGCCUGUAAGAGAAGAAAUUGGUUUUCGCUCUUUAAUGUGAUUUGGUACUUGGACUGAAUUUUUUGGUGCUGGGGAGAUUUCACACACAAAAUAAUUUAAGUUUUGAUGGGUAAAUAAACAGUGUGUUUGGUAAUUGAACUGCCAUAUUAGUAGUGCUGCUAUAAAACACACAAAAUUUGUUUCCAGCCACUUGAAGCAGCAGGCUGUCUGAGGUUUUCUGAUGUCCACGAACAAACAAACAUGGACUGCAGCUAGAAACUUGCAUGCGGUAGGAGAAAGCCAUCCUUGCUCACUUUAAGGAACCUACAGAGGUGGCCAAGGAUACCUCAGUGAAAUACUCAGAAGCCAUGCAUGCUGGUUUGACCAGGGGAGCCAUGCAGCUCAGGACAUGAAGCACAAAGCCAUCUACACAAGGACUUUAUUGCCACUGGGAAAGCCAUGUGUAAGCCAGGAAGUACUCAAAAUAACUUCAG
rnacentral:lncRNA from 1 species